CCUUGAGACUAUUGAUGUGAGCUGCCAGGAACCAGGAAUGCCGCUGGAGCUACGCUGGCUUCUAACCACUUCAAACACACAGUGGAGUGCCCAAAGCAAUGUAACCUUGCUGGCUGUAGAAGUCUGCAAAACCAGAGAAAAACCGGAGUCAGCUGGCCUCAGAGAGGGAGGAUCACACAAGAGGACACUCUACAACCCAAGUCUACUUUCUAUAAGGGUUUGGACUGUCAACAUCAAGUGAAAUUUCUCAAGAACCAACAGGAUUGGGGUAAGAAAGUCCCUGCUGGCCCAUGCAGGCACAGGCAUGCACACUGGGGCUGAGGAGAAUUCUGGAAUCAAGGAGGCAGCUGAACAAGACACAGCUGUUUGGAGACCAGCAUUCUGGGGAAGGCCCCUCUCUGUACAGCCCAAGAGGGAAUCUCUGAAUAGUUGCACUCUUGGACUGCGCUCAGUGUUCCUCAUCAGCUGGAGGCCGCAUCAUCAGCUUCGUUUUGUUGCCUCUGUCAUUGUUUUGGAGCCUUAGAGCGUGAACGUGCCUGGCCCCCUGCCACGGCUGCAGGAGUGGAGCCAGGGUGUGUACUGCAGCCCAGAGGAGGAGCCUCGCACUCUUCUGCAAAAAGAUUCCGGGGAGGAAAUCUGGAAAGUCUUUUCAAAACAACUCACAAAGGAAGGAGAGCUGCCAACUCUUGCAGGGUUGGUUUGCCCUAAUAAAUGAUCAGUUACUUAACGUGAGCA
rnacentral:lncRNA from 1 species